GACGAACGCUGGCGGCGUGCUUAACACAUGCAAGUCGAACGGAAAGGCCCUGCUUUUGUGGGGUGCUCGAGUGGCGAACGGGUGAGUAACACGUGAGUAACCUGCCCUUGACUUUGGGAUAACUUCAGGAAACUGGGGCUAAUACCGGAUAGGAGCUCCUGCUGCAUGGUGGGGGUUGGAAAGUUUCGGCGGUUGGGGAUGGACUCGCGGCUUAUCAGCUUGUUGGUGGGGUAGUGGCUUACCAAGGCUUUGACGGGUAGCCGGCCUGAGAGGGUGACCGGCCACAUUGGGACUGAGAGACGGCCCAGUCUCCUACGGGGGGCAGCGGUGGAGAAUAUUGCACAAUAGGCGGAAGCCUGAUACAGCAACGCCGCGUGCGGGAUGACGGCCUUCGGGUUAUAAACCGCUUUCGCCUGUGACGAAGCGUGAGUGACGGUAAUGGGUAAAGAAGCACCGGCUAACUACGUG
rnacentral:rRNA from 1 species